GGUCUCUUGUCUAUGAGUCUAGGUUGAGUUGUCAGUUGCAGCAUAGCUGUGUUGAGGAAUGUGCUAUGUGUUCAUGGGCCUUGUUCCCAUGAGGCAAUAGGUGGGUAUUUCAUCCAAGUUAGAGGUUGUGUGGAAGGCUGGGGAUGUGAGGGUACUUGUGUGUUCUCUUCCAUUUUUUGUCUCUGGGGAAUGGAUGUAAAUAUAGAAUCAUAGAAUCAUUAAGGUUGGAAAAGACCUUCAGGAUCAUCUAAUCCAGUCAUCACCCUACUACCAAUGUCACCCACUAAACCAUGUCCCUAAGCGCCAGGUCCGAGCAAGCACCCUCCCCUUCUCUCCUUUUUUGAAAAAUGUGUGCACUUUUACGCCUUUUUUUUUUAAGAGUUCUUUCCUCAUUCCCAGUGAUCGGAGUGCACAAAACACAUUUUUCUUCCCAUCACUGCCCCCCCCCCAACCCGCUGUCCCCUGAGGCCUGCUCCCCACCAGGCACCCACUGAUGUUAGUAGAAGAAGCAUGUAUGUGUGGAGCAGUGCAUGUGCUUCAAGGAGGGGGACAUUCCCCUCCAAAGACAUUCAUGAUGACCCAGUUUCUGGUAGAGGAUGGCUCCUCUCUCUCUUUCCCCCAGAUCAUGAGUAUGCUUUGAAGAUUAAAGAGAACUACACCUCCCUUCUUGGUAUACCUUGAUGGUGUGGUUUUACACAGUGAGUGGUGUUGGGAAAUGGUCUGCUCAUUUUUCCUUUGGUGAGACAUGCUUGGAAAUUCGGAGGGUGAAAGAAAUGUAUCGAAGAUGUGGAAGGUUUGAGAGGAAACAGUAAGUAAACUCUUUAUGAGGUGCUGUAGAAGAACAGACGUUUCUCUCCCAGCUUGCGAUUGUUCCAUUAGGCACACAGCCAUGGUUCAUGUACGUUGAAAUCUUCCUGAUGAGUAGAUUUAGCAUUAGAAUUGCGAUUUUUCCUGUGUUGGGAGCUUCAGGAGGACCUUCCAGGGAAUUAAUUCCCUACUAUCUACCUUACAUGCCCUUCUACUCUGAAUACUCAGAAAUGUCCCUUUAGCUGCAUAUCAUUUAUUCUCUUCACAGUGCUUAUCUUAUACCAUGAUAAUGUGGUGAAAAAAAAAAUUGUCUUUGGAGCUGUCCAUGGUGUAGUCUUCAUGCCCGUUGUGGAGAAAAAGGCUAGGCCACUGAUCCUUUGAUGAUGUCCUUCUGGAUGUAAUGAAGAAGGAAGGGAAUCAUAAUAGUUAGGAGUAGUCUGGGAAUAUUUCAUGUGUGUAGUGGCCUUGGAGGCUUUGAUUUCUCAUCAUAAUCUUUGAACACUGACAUCUCAGGAAUGGUUCUGGAAGUGUCUUUGCUAACAGACACAUGUGAUGAGAGCAGCUGUGUUGCAGUUCCAUCACUUGAAUCUCAUUAAGCAUAAUGCUUGGGCAGCCCAAAGAAAAAUGCCUGUAGAAUUAUAGUGAAGUCCUUCACUUCUGUAGUUUUCCUGUUUUUUCCUCUUUCAUCAUUACUGUCUAAACUAAGCCUCAAUAUGGCAGAGAAUCUUUAAAAGACUGGAGGAUCCACAAGAAUUGUGGGGCUGGGGUAGCUGAUUCCAUACAGAGAUUGAAUAUUUACAGCUGUGUUAUCAUUCCUUUUAAUGUCACUGAAUGGAAUCCCCUUGGCAGUGUUUGACAUUCUGGAGAAGAUAGA
rnacentral:lncRNA from 1 species